rnacentral:rRNA from 1 species
GAUUGAUCCCGUCGGACCCCACUGCUAUCGAGAUGGGACUAAAGUAUGCUAGUCGAACGACCAGAACUAUGUCUGGAAGUGGCACACUGCUCAGUAACACGUAGCUAACCUACCCUUAGGACGUGGAUACCCCCGAGAAAUUGGGGUUAAUCCUCGAUUGAUGUAAUGUCCUGGAAUGGUAUUACGUCUAAAGGUAUUUCAUACAUGUUUGAAAUAUGCCUAAGGAUGGGGCUGCGGCCGAUCAGGCUGUUGGUGAGGUAAUGGCUCACCAAACCUUUGACCGGUACGGGCCGUGAGAGUGGUAGCCCGGAGAUGGACACUGAGACAGGGUCCAGGCCCUAAGGGGCGCAGCAACCGCGAAACCUCCACAAUGCACUCACGUGCGAUGGGGCUAUCUCGAGUGCCACCUGAUGAAGGUGGCUUUUCCUAGGUCUUCAAAGCCUUGGGAAUAAGAGGGGGGCAAGACUGGUGUCAGCCGCCGCAGUAACACCAGCCCCUCGAGUGGUGGGGAUGAUUAUUUGGCCUAAAGCGUCCGUAGCCGGCCGAGCAAGUCUUCCGUUAAAUCCAGCGUCUCAAGCGUUGGACCGCGGGAGAUACUACACGGCUAGAGAGUGGGAGAGGUCAGCGGUAUUCUGGGGGUAGGGGCGAAAUCCUUUGAUCCCCGGAGGACCACCAGUGGCGAAGGCUGCUGACUAGAACACGUCUGACGGUCAGGGACGAAAGCUGGGGUAGCGAACCGGAUUAGAUACCCGGGUAGUCCCAGCCGUAAACGAUGCAUGCUAGGUGUUGGGUUGGCCACGAGCCACCCCAGUGCCGCAGGGAAGCCGUUAAGCAUGCCGCCUGGGAAGUACGAUCGCAAGAUUGAAACUUAAAGGAAUUGGCGGGGGAGCACCACCAGGCGUGAAGCCUGCGGUUUAAUUGGAGUCAACGCCGGGAACCUUACCGGGAGCGACAGCAGAAUGAAGGCCAGAUUGAAGAUCUUGCCAGACGAGCUGAGAGGAGGUGCAUGGCCGUCGCCAGUUCGUGCCGUGAGGUGUUCUCUUAAGUGAGAUAACGAACGAGACCCGUGCCACAUGUUGCCACCAGUAUCUAAAGGAUAGCUGAGCACUCUUGUGGGACCGCAGCCGAUAAGGCUGAGGAAGGUACGGGCAACGGCAGGUCAGUAUGCCCCGAAUCUCCCGGGCCACACGCGGGCUGCAAUGGUACAGACAGAGGGCUGCCACCCCGAAAGGGGGAGCCAAUCCCUAAACUGUACCUCAGUUGGGAUCGAGGGUUGCAACCCACCCUCGUGAACAUGGAAUGCCUAGUAACCGCCAGUCAUCAUCUGGCGGUGAAUACGUCCCUGCUCCUUGCACAUACUGCCCGUCGAACCACCCGAAUGAGGUUUGGGUGAGGAAUGGUCGAAUGUUGGCCGUUUCGAACCUGGGCCUCGUAAGGAGGGUUAAGUCGUAACAAGGUG